rnacentral:sRNA from 1 species
GCCGGGCGCAGUGGCGCACACCUGUGAUCCCAGCAGCUCGGGAGGCUGAGGCAGGAGGAUUGUGAGUUCAAAGCCAGCCUCAGUCACUUACGUAACUCAGUGAGAUCCUGUCUCUA